GUCCUUUAGAAUUAAAUUUAAGGUUUGACCUGCCCACUGAAAUAUUUAAAUGGCCGCAGUAUUCUAACUGUGCAAAGGUAGCAUAAUCAUUAGUCUUUUAAUUGAAGGCUUGUAUGAAUGGUUGGACGAGAUAUUAACUGUUUCAUAUAAAUUUAUAAUAGAAUUUUAUUUUUUAGUCAAAAAGCUAAAAUUAAUUUAAAAGACGAGAAGACCCUAUAGAUCUUAAUAAUUUUUAAAUUUUAACUAUAAAGAUUAUUUAGGUUAUAAUUAUAUAAAUUAUUUUAUUGGGGUGAUAUUAAAAUUUAUAAAACUUUUAAUGAUUAAUAUACAUUAAUUUAUGAAUAAUUGAUCCAUUAUUAGUGAUUAAAAAUUUAAGUUACCUUAGGGAUAACAGCGUAAUUUUUUUGGAGAGUUCAUAUCGAUAAAAAAGAUUGCGACCUCGAUGUUGAAUUAAGAUAUAGUUUUGGGCGCAGCAGUUCAAUUUUAAAGUCUGUUCGACUUUUAGAUUCUU
rnacentral:rRNA from 1 species